CAUGGAUUUGCUUCUUCUCGAGAUCUGACAGAUCCAACUUGGUUGAUCCCUCAAUAUAUGGUACGGAGAUAACGCUUGAAAGGAAGUACUGCUCAAAGAACAAUGUGUGGGGCGAGUAUGGUGUUGAUAAACUUGAGGUAUCGAGAUCCUCAACUUCAUUAAACUAAUGCAAGCAAGGAAAAACAGAGA